CGGUACUCUGCGGCGCCGCAUGAAUUUCAACACAGCAAUUGUUUGAAUAAACUGUAUAAAUGAAACAGUAAAUUUACACGCUGUUUGGUUUAAUGUAAGAAAUGUAUAAUUUGAGAUUAAAAAUAUUUCUUACUCUUGGUAAUCUUUUAGUAAUAAUAUUUACUGCUAAAUUGUAUAAUAUAAUUUGUAUAAUAUAAUAAUUUAGGCCCACGAGUAAUGUUUUAAAUAUAAUUACAUUAUGCCAACUGACAAAUAAUACAACUCAAAUAAAUCGAUUAUUUCCAUUUUAUUACACAGGAACUGACUUCACUGAAAUAGUUUCACCCUUAUUGUUAUUUAUAAGGCACAGCCAAUGGCCACAACCGGAAGCGGUUUUUUUCCUAAAGAAACACGUGGUUUAUUAGGGUUAGAUAAAUACCGCCUCGUGCUACAACAACCUUCUUUUCCGCUCGAGAUACAUUAAGUAACGGUAGCAUUAAUUCGACGAUAUAAAAUUAUUUUAUUAGCAAUAUAAUAUCUAAUUGGUAUGUUAGCAAUCUUACAGGUGACCAAGCAAACGUAUUUCUGAUAUAAUGGCACUUUACGUGUUUAGACGAAAAGGAAGCGAUGUAGGAACGACUGGUUGCCUUUCUGAUCAUUUAAAAUAACUACAUAAAACGAACCAAAAGAUUUGUGUAGCCUUCAGAGAUAAAGAUGCAAAGAACGAUGCGACGCACAUACCUGUCUUUACGCUGUGAAGCAUAAAGGGCGUUUUUGUAAAGGUGUUUGUACUAUGAAGCAUGGAGGUGGGUUUAAAAAGGUAUUUACUUCACAUGUGACCAGGGAAUGUUUACAACACCCAUGUUGAGUUGGUUUAUUUGUAGGUUCAUUUGGUUCCUCUUCAUUUUCCAUCGUUUUCCUUUUUAGUUUCAGUAUUCGAGACAAACGUAAUUGGGUAACAUUUUACAAUAAGGUUGUGUUUGUUAAAGGGAUAGUUCAACCAAAAAUGAGAAUUUUCAUUGACUCUUUCAUGUUGUUACAAACCUGUAUAAAUGUGUUUGUUCUUAUAACCACAGAUGAAUGUUUGUAACUAAACCAAUCAUGAGCCCCAUUCACUUCUAUAGUAAUGAUCAGUGUAGUUUCAAACUUUACUUAAAAUAUCUUCCUUUGUGGUCAUCAAAACAAAAUAUUUAUACAGGUUUGUAACAACAUGAGUGAAAAUGUUGACAAUUUUCACUUUUGGGUGAACUAUCUCUUUAACAUUAGUUAAUGCAUUAUCUAACAAGAACUAUCAAUGAACUAUUUUUACAUUGUUUAUUAGUCUUUUAUUAUUUACAGUUUUUGCGAAUACAUUAAUAAACUCAAAGUUGUAAUAAGUUAAUGCACAAUGAACUAACAUAAAUAAUUGUGUUGGCAUUGCUAACAUUUAUAAAGAU